GCCUAAAGGGGCCGUAGCUGGCCUGUUAAAUCCUUUGUGAAAUUGUACAGCUUAACUGUACAGCGUGCAAGGGAGACUGGCAGGCUCGGGACCGGGAGGAGUCAGAAGUAUUCCAUGGGGAGCGGUAAAAUGUGAUAAUCCAUGGAGGACUACCUGUGGCGAAGGCGUCUGACCAGAACGGAUCCGACAGUGAGGGACGAAAGCCAGGGGAGCAAACCGGAUUAGAUACCCGAGUAGUCCUGGCCGUAAACGCUGUGAGCUAGGUGUUGCACUAAUUUCGUGUUGGUGCAGUGUCGAAACGAAGGUGUUAAGCUCACCGCCUGGGAAGUACGGUCGCAAGACUGAAACUUUAAGGAAUUGGCGGGGAAGCACCACAAGGGGUGCGGCGUGCGGUUUAAUCUAACUCAACGCAGAGAACCUUACUAGGGACGAUGGCAGGAUGAAGGCCAGCUUGAAGAGCUUGCUUGACAGGCCAAGAGGUGGUGCAUGGCCGCCGUCAGCUCGUGCUGUGAAGUGUCCUCUUAAGUGAGGUAACGAGCGAGACCUGUAUCUACAAUUGCUAACAGCUGCUUGCAGGACUGAGCACUUUGUAGAGACUGCCUUGGAGACAAGGAGGAAGGUGCAGGCAACGGUAGGUCUGUAUGCCCCGAAUUCCCUAGGCUACACGCGCGCAACAAUGGUAGAGACAAUGGGAUGCAACUCCGAAAGGAGAAGCUAAUCCUCUAAACCCUAUCUUAGUCCAGAUUGAGGCUUGCAACUCAGCCUCAUGACGACGGAAUCCCUAGUAAUCAGAAAGUCAUCAUCUUCUGGUGAAUAUGUCCCUGCUUCUUGUACCCACCGCCCGGU
rnacentral:rRNA from 1 species